GAUGAACGCUGGCGGCGUGCUUAACACAUGCAAGUCGAACGGAAAGGCCCAAGCUUGCUUGGGUACUCGAGUGGCGAACGGGUGAGUAACACGUGGGUGAUCUGCCCUGCACUUCGGGAUAAGCCUGGGAAACUGGGUCUAAUACCGGAUAGGACGAUGGUUUGGAUGCCAUUGUGGAAAGUUUUUUCGGUGUGGGAUGAGCUCGCGGCGUAUCAGCUUGUUGGUGGGGUAAUGGCCUACCAAGGCGUCGACGGGUAGCCGGCCUGAGAGAGUGUACGGCCACACUGGAACUGAGAUACGGGCCGGACUCCUGCAGGAGGCAGCAGUGGGGAAUAUUGGACGGUGGGAGGAAGCCUGAUGCAGGAAGGCCGCGUGGGGGAUGACGGCCUUCGGGUUGUAAACACCUAUGGCUAAGGACGAAGGGUUUUUGUGACGGUACCUAGAGAAGAAGCACCGGCUAACUACGUG
rnacentral:rRNA from 1 species